UUGAAAACACCAGUUCCCAUCCAAUCACUGAAGUUAAGCAAUGUUAAUCCAGGUCAGUACUUAGAUGGGUGACCGUUGGGAAUACCAA